AUAAGAGAAUAAGGGCACACGGUGGAUGCCUUGGCAUCAGGAGCCGAUGAAGGACGUGGACGGCUGCGAUAAGCCCUGGGGAGUCGCUGAACAGACUUUGAUCCAGGGAUUUCCGAAUGGGGAAACCCACCCGUGGUAAUGCGCGGGUACCCUGCACUGAAUCCAUAGGUGCAGCGGAGGUAAGUGCGUGAACUGAAACAUCUAAGUAGCGCGAGGAAUAGAAAGAAAUCUCGAUUCCCUGAGUAGUGGCGAGCGAAACGGGAACAGCCCAAACCAUGUCGGAGUGAUAGCCUGUGGGCGUUGCCGGCAUGGGGUUGUAGGAUCGUUCUUAUCCGUCCCACAGGGCGGGUGGGGAGUUACAAAACUUCGUGAUAGUGGAAGUACGUGGAAACGUACGCCAUAGAGGGUGAAGGCCCCGUACACGAAAUCUCGAAGACUCCCUUGAACGACACCUGAGUACGGCCGGGCACGUGAAACCCGGCCGGAAGCUACGGGGACCACCCCGUGAGGCUAAAUACUUCCUGAUGACCGAUAGUGAACUAGUACCGUGAGGGAAAGGUGAAAAGCACCCCGGAAGGGGAGUGAAAUAGUACCUGAAACCGUGUGCCUACAAGCGGUCGGAGCCGGCUAGUCCGGUGACGGCGUACUUUUUGCAUAAUGGGCCAGCGAGUUAGUCGUGUGUGGCGAGGUUAAGUAACCGGAGCCGAAGCGAAAGCGAGUCCGAAUAGGGCGAUUUAGUCGCACGCGCUAGACCCGAAACUAAGCGAUCUAUCCAUGGGCAGGUUGAAGCGGGGGUAAGACCUCGUGGAGGACCGAACCCACGUCGGUUGAAAACGGCGGGGAUGACCUGUGGAUCGGAGUGAAAGGCUAAUCAAGCUUAGAGAUAUCUGGUUCUCCCCGAAAUAUAUUUAGGUAUAGCCUCGGUUGUUCAGCUUUGGUUGUAGAGCACUGUUUGGUCUAGGGGCCCUACCAGGUUACCGAAAUCAGACAAACUCCGAAGGCCAUUGCUCCAGAAACCGGGAGUCAGACAGUGGGGGAUAAGCUUCAUUGUCGAAAGGGAAACAGCCCAGACCACCAGCUAAGGUCCCUAAAUCAUGUCUAAGUGGGAAACGAUGUGCGGAUGCGUUAACAACCAGGAGGUUGGCUUAGAAGCAGCCACCCUUGAAAGAGUGCGUAAUAGCUCACUGGUCAAGUGUUCGUGCGCGGAUGAUGUAACGGGGCUCAAGACAUGUACCGAAGCUGUGGAUAGCGACUAUGUCGUUAUGGUAGGGGAGCGUUCCUAGGACGAAGAAGCGGCAGCGGAAGCUAGCCGUGGAGACCUAGGAAGUGAGAAUGCUGGCAUGAGUAACGAGAGAGGUGUGAGAAACACCUCCGCCGAAUGCCUAAGGGUUCCUGAGUAAAGCUAUUCUGCUCAGGGUUAGUCGGGACCUAAGCCGAGGCCGCAAGGCGUAGGCGAUGGACAACUGGUUGAUAUUCCAGUACCACGUAGCCACCGUUUGACUGACGGGGGGACGGGGUAGGAUAAGGGAUCCCGGGCGAUGGUAGUCCCGGGGCAAGCGCGUAGGAGGUUCGGUUGGAAAAUCCGCCGAACAAUACUCUGAGACGUUAUGCCGAGGCCGUAGGCCGUAAGUCCCCUAAGCCAUGCCUCCAAGAAAAGCCUCUAAGGAGGUGGCGCGUGCUCGUACCAAAACCGACACAGGUAGGCGGGUAGAGAAUACCAAGGCGAUCGAGAUAACCCUCGUUAAGGAACUCGGCAAAAUCGUCCCGUAACUUCGGGAGAAGGGACGCCUCAUUAAGGUGAAAGGACUUGCUCCUGGAGCCUGAGGAGGCCGCAGUGACGAGGCCCAAGCGACUGUUUACCAAAAACACAGGUCUCUGCUAAGUCGAAAGACGAUGUAUAGGGGCUGACGCCUGCCCGGUGCCGGAAGGUCAUGAGGAGAGGUUAGCUUCGGCGAAGCUUUGAAUCCAAGCCCCGGUAAACGGCGGCGGUAACUAUAACCGUCCUAAGGUAGCGAAAUUCCUUGUCGGGUAAGUUCCGACCUGCACGAAUGGCGUAACGACUUGGGCGCUGUCUCAACGAGGGACUCGGUGAAAUUGUAGUAUCGGUGAAGAUGCCGAUUAAUCGCAGCUAGACGGAAAGACCCCGUGAACCUUUACUGCAGCUUGAUAUUGGGAUCCGGUUCAUCCCGUCCAGGAUAGGAGGGAGGCUUUGAAGCCAUGACGCUAGUCGUGGUGGAGCCAUCCUUGGGAUACCUCCCUGGAUGUUUCGGAUUUCUAACCCCAUGCCGUGAUCCGGGUGGGGAACAGUGUCAGGUGGGCAGUUUGACUGGGGCGGUCGCCUCCUAAAAUGUAACGGAGGCGCUCAAAGGUUCCCUCAGCAUGGUCAGAAAUCAUGCGUAGAGCGUAAAGGCAUAAGGGAGCUUGACUGUGAGACCAACAAGUCGAACAGGUACGAAAGUAGGACUUAGUGAUCCGGCCGUGGAGAGUGGAAUUGCGGUCGCUCAACGGAUAAAAGGUACUCCGGGGAUAACAGGCUUAUGAUGCCCAAGAGUCCAUAUCGACGGCAUCGUUUGGCACCUCGAUGUCGGCUCAACGCAUCCUGGGGCUGAAGUAGGUCCCAAGGGUUGGGCUGUUCGCCCAUUAAAGCGUUACGCGAGCUGGGUUCAGAACGUCGUGAGACAGUUCGGUCCCUAUCUGCUGUGAUCGUUGGAGAAUUGACAGGAGCUGCCCCUAGUACGAGAGGACCGGGGUGGACAGACCUCUGGUGUCCCAGUUGUCGUGCCAACGGCAUCGCUGGAUAGCUACGUCUGGAUGGGAUAACCGCUGAAAGCAUCUAAGCGGGAAGCCCACCUGGAGAUGAGUUCUCCCAUCCCUUUAAGGGAGUAAGGGCCCUGGUAGACCACCAGGUUGAUAGGCGAGAUGUGGAAGUGCAGCAAUGCAUGUAGCUAACUCGUACUAAUAGCCCGAGGUCUUAUUUUA
rnacentral:rRNA from 1 species